rnacentral:lncRNA from 1 species
AAAAUGGAUUUAGAAUAUGUUCUCAGUGUCUAUUGCCAAGUAAUUACAACAUUCACCAAAGGAAUCUUGCAAAAGUUCAUAUUCAUUAGAUAUUCUAUUUUAUAUCCAAAAUUUCAACAAAACAAAAAUUAUAUGCUUGUUUGUCCAAGCUUCAGACUUUUGGAUAUUUAAAAAAAUUCAUAGCUGCUCUGGGAAAGAAGAGCAGUCUAACUCUUGGUAUUUAUUUUCUGGGGAAAAAUUGAUUUGUUUUCCUUUCUUUUGUGUGAUUGUAAUUAUUAUUAUUUUUCUUUUUUAGUUUUAGGAAAGUGAAUGGUUUUGCUGUGAACCGAGGGUAUAGUUGAAAGUAGAGAGAAGUUUAAAAUCUUUGCCCAAGUGUAUAUGAGAAAUCUAUACAGACUGGAAGUAACCUUUUGAAACAACUGGAUUAAGAGUAAAUUUAUUUGAUUAUUUUAAAAUACAAAUAAAACUAACCUCAGGUAGACUCUUCUGAUAUAGUUUGUUGGUAAUAACUCCCCAAGUAGGAAAACAAGGACUAUUUACAGUGUAGAUAGACGUGCUCUACGGACCGUAUAUAUUAUAUAAAGUGACUAUAGCUAAUUAACUGCUUUAUGGAUAUGCUCCUAGGAUAAUUAUAAUUUUGUUAUUUAUCUCAUGGAUGAUUCCAUUCUAGAUAUAUUAUUUUUAAGUUGGCAAUGAAAUAUAAAGCUUGCUAAAUGAUGUAUGAGGCCUCUGGCAUAAAGAUUUACUAUAAAAAGGAAGUUGUGUUAAUAAUGUGAUUUCUUUAUAAUGUAUGUGGAAUUGUGCUGGAUUUAUCUGAAUUAGUUUUUAUUUAACUGUUAGUUAAAAAUUACACUUAAGCUUACCAUAGCAAAAUAUUUCAGUAAUCAUUUUUUUUUCUUUAGCAAUCGUUCUCUCUCUCCAUCUCUCAUAGAUAUACAAACACUGUCUUCCAAAUUAUAAGGUAAAACUAUAUAGAUUCUGUAUUCAUUAAUUUAUAUUAGGAAAAAAUUCAUUUAGAGGCCAUGUGAUUACCCACAUAUUGCUUAAGUUUUUGAGUCUUUAGUUUGAAAAUGGAGACAGUGAUACUUAAGUUAGAUGGUUGAUGUUAGGGUUGAGGUAAGGGGCAGAGUGAGUGAUAUCAUACCUGAGAUACAGGUGGUCCUGUAUGACUGUACGUGUACCUCCCCACCCCCUGCAAACACGUAUGACCCCCCAAUACAAAAUGAACACCAUGUAAAAGCCCCAGAAAAGUUAACUUCUACUACUUUGUAACCCUAAACAGAGACUUUGGGGGGUUGUAGGAGAGUUACCUAGGGAAAACAUCGCAGGUGAGAGAAUGGUUUCAGGCAGUUUUAUGGCAGAACAUGGAGAUUUGUUCCAAGUUUAAAGGUUUUUCUUUCCUCAUUUGUGUCUCAUCAACUAAUCCUCCUAAGGAUCAUCUUAAGCCUGGGGGAGGAGUAAAGGAGAAAUCCAAAGAAAGAGUGGAGAGGCAAAAUGAAUAGAGGAGAUUGGAAGAAUGACGGCAUCAAAGACCAAGCAGGUAGAAAGGAGUAAGGAGAAUAAAAACCCAGGAGAGGUGAUCAGUACUUAACAGCUCUAUUUAAGUUCCAAGCUGGUUUCACUCUUUUUGCUUCUUGGGUAUAAAUAUCCUAUGAACUGAGCCUUUUGGAUUUGGCCUCCCUGUAGCAGCAGGAUGAGAUCCAGUUGUGAACCCUGCAUAUGAAAGUUAGGUUCAUUUGACCUAAUACUUUUAAAAUCUUCACACCCAGGCAUCACCUGAAUGCCAGGUCCAAUACCCACCACCUAAUGGUAGGUUCAGCUUCUCCUUCAAGGACAGAGAUCCAAAUGGGCAACACUCCUCUUCCCCUCAACACACACACACACACACACACACACACACAGUGGGUUUAUUAUUCCUUGCUAAGGACAUUUGCCUAUUCUAUUCACUGUGGAUCCCCACAACCUAGAAGAAUGUAAUGUUGUAGCCAACAUGUGCCUGGCAAAUUCUUAGCAAUAUUACUGAAUAAAUGAUAAAGAGACAAGUGUGUCAAUGGACUAUUUAGAGACAUUUGAAGGGUAAAAUUUGGGGAAUGUGGGUCCCUUGAGGAAGAUUUCUGUUAAUGUGAUUUAGUUUUCGUAGUCUUUUUGUUUUUAGUUAAUGUAGUUAUACAAUGUAUUAAUUGAAGAUGGGUCCUCCCCCAGGUAACUGUUGCAGCUUGGACGUUUUUUAAAGGUGCACUGUUCUGCUCUUGUUCUUGGCCCAAAGCAAUACUUUUUGUUUUAUAUAAUUAAUAUGCUAACAGAAAAACACUGAAUAGGAACUUUUAUACAAUCAAAAAAAAAUAUUUCUGAAUAGCAGGUAAUAGGAUGUGACAGGGAGAAAUGCCUUAAUGAGACUGUCAGGAUACUGCAUUUUACUCGUUCCCAGUAAAACAGCUGCUCAACCUACUCAUCUUCAUUUUUGAAUGGAGUCUGUGGGAUGUUACUCAUUACUGUGUUUAGAACAAAACCUUCCCUUGCAAGGAUGUCACAUUACCAUUACUUGGCAACAGAUGACCCAUAAAGAUGAAUUAUCUAUCAGUUGUUCUUCCAUUCAGUAAACACAUCCCUGAAAUUCAUAAGAAAACCAGUCUAAUAGAGGGAGUUCUGUAUUUUGAUAAUUUUUCCAAAGCUCUUUUCAACAAUAAAUAUUCAAUCCCUAGAAAUGUUUAUGUGUAUUUCAUAUUAAUUAUGUCACAUAAAUUUAUAACAGUUUUCUGAAUUUAAAACAAUUGUUUUAUUGUGAAAAUAUUGUAAAUAUAAUUGUUCUUAUGGCAAAAAGCAUAAAGAGAAAAACAUACCUUCCUCUAUCUCUGUGUAUCUCACUGUUUAAGCAUAAAAUCAAUAAGUAAGUGAUAAGCAAUUAACUUAUCAAGUUUAUAGACAAACUUUAUAAGCACAGUCGACCAUUAACUUUAUAAACUAAAAAUUAAACUUGUUUUAAAUUAAGCAUUUUUAGAGUAAUGCAUGUAAGUGUGUCAAAAUAACACCCUCAAAAAAAUUAAGGCAAGAAAGUCAUGUCCAUCUAAGUGACAUCCUCUUGGACUGAGGUGAUAAGAAUCCACUUAGAGCAAAAAUUUUAUAGAAUCAAGCCCUGCUAUUUUUGCUGUUAUCUAAAAUAUAAAAUUAAUUGACAUACUGGAUAAAUGUAAUAUAAUUCAGAACUAUAAAGUACAGAAGGGUAAGUUUGUAAAAAAAAAUCAUUACAAAUAGCAAAAUAGAAUUUUGGAGGCUAGAAAAUAGGCAAGAAGUAUUGUUUAGCAGGAGAGAGUGAUUGGAUUAUAGGUAACCAGUCUCCUGACUUUAUAAAGAUAGGUGUGAUUUUAAUAGAUUGCUCCAAGUUUAAAAAGUGAUACAUAGAUAGAUAAUAGAUAGAUGAUAGGUAAAGGGUAGAUAGAUUAUAGGUAAGUGAUAAGUAGAGGAUGGAUAGAUGAUAGGUGGAUGUUAUGAAAAGGAUAAAUAGAGGGUAAUAGGUAGAUAGACAGACAGGUAGUUGAUAGAUAGGCCCCCUUUGUAGAUAUUCUAUGGCUCAGGUUGCCGAAUCUAAACAUCUACCAUCAAAUAGAUGGUCACUAGUGAUUUCGCAAUUUUUGUGACAAAAGCAGUUUCUCUGAAGCAGGGUAUACUAAUAAAAUGAAUUUUCGAAAUCUCAAGGUUAAAGUCUAGAUCUAGGAAAUCCAGUGACUCCACAAAUAUCUUCCCAAAGUGGCCUAAGCAGAAAUUGCCAGUCAGUAGUAAACACUUCCUAUAAAAGGUGAACCCUUUCAAACCACUAAAAUGGCUCAACUAAUAUUCUAGCAAUAUAAAUAAGUAUUCUGUAGAUAAAUUUACUGUAUCUCCCAAUACCCCUGACUUUCCUUCUUUAAUCCUUGCUAAUUAGUCCUAGUCAAACAUCUCCUUUAUUUUUAUGCAUUCCUGAUACUUGGAGAAAUAUUGCAGUAAUAUCUGUAUUACCAAAAAUUGUUGAGGACAAAUAUAGCAUAGUGGUUCUAAAAUCAGACAGAUCUGGAGUUUAAUGUCACAUCAUAGACUUACAUGAUGCUUGGCAAGUUACUGUCUUUAUCUUCUGUUUACUCAGGUGUAAAAUGAAGAUAAUAAAAUCAUCUACUGCAUAGUGGUUUUUUUUUUUUUUUGAGAAUUGAAUGAUAUUGUAAAACACUUAACACGAUUUUUAGGAAGUAGUAAUUGCUCAAAUAUAUUUCUCCCCCUCCUGCUCAUCACCACUGGAAUUAUUAUGGUUACUAUUUUCAACCAUUAUUCAUAUUCUACUGGGAGAUUUAAGCACUUUAAAAAUACAUAUGACAUGAUAUUUACUGUUGCUUAGAGUAAUGAAUGUAUGGAAUUAAUUAUUCUUAGCUCAUUGUACUAAUGUAAUUAUAACCUUAGCCAUUCUUGACGGGAACUUGACAUUUAAAUAUAGCUAAGAUCCAAUGGGCCACAUCCUCAGCAAAAGCAGAAGUGGUGGUGAUAGACAUGGAUCUUGUAGAGCAGCAGAAGUACCCUAUAUCAAUUGACCUUGACAUUGACUACAAAGGAAGAUUCAGCUAAGAAUUUGUUGUGAAGUGUCUCAGAAGCCCAUCAGAAGAAAAACAAAUUUUCUCUGGAGGAAAGCAUCUCCAAUCUAAAUGUCAAAGAAUGCCCAGAUAUAAAGCUCCAUUCAUGAUCAAAAAUAAAAAUAUAAUAAUAACUUAAAAGCAUGUAAGAGAGCCAAAAGAAAGGUGGGGGGGAUUACAGUCAAUCAAUUCAACAGUAACAGGUUGUAAUUAAAAUUCCUAGUGGAUGCUCACUGCAAAUUAACAUGUUGGUUCUAAGACCUAUAGUAGAAGAAACAAAGUGUGAAAAAAACUAAGUAUGAAAAAAAAGACAAAUUUUAAAAAUAGGUAAGGGACUUAUUGUAUAGUAAAGUACUUAUAAAGAAAAUAUAAAUCUUGGCGUUCCCAUUGUGGCUCAGCAGUAACCAACCAGACUAGUACCCCUGAGGAAUGGGUGUGAUUCCUGGUCCACUCAGUGGGUUAAGGAUCUGGCAUUGCCUUUUGCUGUGGUAUGGUGGCAGAUGUGGCUUGGAUCCCACGUUGCUGCAGCUGUGGCAUAGGCCAGCAGCAGCUGAAAUUUGACUCUUAGCCUGGGAACUUCUAUAUGCCA